CGACGAAGGAGAAACCGACUGGAACGUGAUCGUGAUAAACGUGGAGGACCCCGAGGCUGAAGACUUCAAAGAUAUCGAGGACGUCCGCAGACUGAAGCCCGGAUUCCUGCAGGCCACACUCGACUGGUUCUGGAUGUAUAAAGUCCCAGACGGGAAGCCGGAAAACCAAUUUGCCUUCAAUGGUGAAUUUAAGAACAGGGAUUUCGCCAUUAAAACGGUUAAGGACACUCAUAGUUUCUGGAAAGCUCUGAUCUCCAAGAAAACAGACGCCAGU